rnacentral:rRNA from 1 species
AUUGAACGCUGGCGGCAGGCUUAACACAUGCAAGUCGAGCGGGGUGAUGGUGCUUGCACUAUCACUUAGCGGCGGACGGGUGAGUAAUGCUUAGGAAGCUGCCUAUUAGUGGGGGACAACAUCUCGAAAGGGAUGCUAAUACCUCAUACGUCCUACGGGAGAAAGCAGGGGAUCACUUGUGACCUUGCGCUACUAGAUGAGCCUAAGUCGGAUUAGUUAGUUGGUGGGUUAAAGGCCUACCAAGGCGACGAUCUGUAGCGGGUCGGAGAGGAUGAUCCGCCACACUGGGACUGAGACACGGCCCAGACUCCUACGGGAGGCAGCAGGGGGGAAUAUUGGACAAUGGGGGGAACCCUGAUCCAGCCAUGCCGCGUGUGUGAAGAAGGCCUUAUGGUUGUAAAGCACUUUAAGCGAGGAGGAGGCUCUUUUGGUUAAUACCCAAGAUGAGUGGACGUUACUCGCAGAAUAAGCACCGGCUAACUCUGUGCCAGCAGCCGCCGUAA